rnacentral:rRNA from 1 species
UGGGGAAUAUUGCACAAUGGGCGCAAGCCUGAUGCAGCCAUGCCGCGUGUGUGAAGAAGGCCUUCGGGUUGUAAAGCACUUUCAGCGAGGAGGAAGGUGGUGAGCUUAAUACGCUCAUCAAUUGACGUUACUCGCAGAAGAAGCACCGGCUAACUCCGUGCCAGCAGCCGCGGUAAUACGGAGGGUGCAAGCGUUAAUCGGAAUUACUGGGCGUAAAGCGCACGCAGGCGGUUUGUUAAGUCAGAUGUGAAAUCCCCGGGCUCAACCUGGGAACUGCAUUUGAAACUGGCAAGCUAGAGUCUCGUAGAGGGGGGUAGAAUUCCAGGUGUAGCGGUGAAAUGCGUAGAGAUCUGGAGGAAUACCGGUGGCGAAGGCGGCCCCCCUGGACGAAGACUGACGCUCAGGUGCGAAAAGCGUGGGGGCAGCAAAACAGGAUUAGAUACCCUGGUAGUCCACGCUGUAAAACGAUGUCGAUUUUGGAGGUUGUGCCCCUUGAGGCGUGGCUUCCGGAGCUAACGCGUUAAAUCGACCGCCUGGGGAGUACGGCC